GACGAACGCUGGCGGCGUGCUUAACACAUGCAAGUCGUACGGUAAGGCCCUUUCGGGGGUACACGAGUGGCGAACGGGUGAGUAACACGUGAGUAACCUGCCCACAACUUUGGGAUAACGCUAGGAAACUGGUGCUAAUACUGGAUAUGUGCUCCUGCUUCAUGGUGGGGGUUGGAAAGCUCCGGCGGUUGUGGAUGGACUCGCGGCCUAUCAGCUUGUUGGGGGGGUAGUGGACUACCAAGGCGGCGACGGGUAGCCGGCCUGAGAGGGUGACCGGCCACAUUGGGACUGAGAUACGGCCCAGACUCCUACGGGAGGCAGAAGUGGGGAAUAUUGCACAAUGGGCGCAAGCCGGAUGCAGCAACGCCGCGUGCGGGAUGACGGCCUUCGGGUUGUAAACCGCUUUCAGCAGGGACGAAGCUUUUUGUGACGGUACCUGCAGAAGAAGCACCGGCUAACUACGUG
rnacentral:rRNA from 1 species